AUUGAACGCUGGCGGCAGGCUUAACACAUGCAAGUCGAGCGAGCGGCGGACGGGUGAGUAAUGUCUGGGAAACUGCCUGAUGGAGGGGGAUAACUACUGGAAACGGUAGCUAAUACCGCAUACCAUCAGAUGUGCCCAGAUGGGAUUAGCUAGUAGGUGGGGGAAUGGCUCACCUAGGCGAGGAUCCCUAGCUGGUCUGAGAGGAUGACCAGCCCGACUGGAACUGAGACAAGAUCCAGACUCGUGAGUUGGGCAGCAGUGGGGAAUAUUGCACAAUGGGCGAAAGCAUGAUGCAGCCAUGCCGGGUGUGUGAAGAAAGCCUUCGGGUUGUAAAGCACUUUCAGCGAGGGGGCGUUACUCGCAGAAGAAGCACCGGCUAAAUCCGUGCCAGCAGCCGCGGUAAUAG
rnacentral:rRNA from 1 species